GUGGCAGUGGUAAGCAAUUUCGUGUGUAGGCCUGUCACGAUAACAAAUUUUGCUGGACAAUAAAUUGUCCCAGAAACGAUCGCAAUAAACAAUAAU